CCUGUCCCUAGAGGCAUUGUGUGUCCAGCUAUUCUGUCGCAUGUGUGUCAUCCGGUGGCAGAGAGUUCUGUGUUCGGUGCUUAGUGUUCUGACCCUGGAACACCUGAAUGAUCAGUAGCGUAACACU